AAUAAAAGGGCAAAAUCAGAUUUUAUUGUCAUAUAGAUGUGCCCUAUGGUGCCCACCUCUGGACUUAUGUAGGCAGAAGAGAAGAUGCAAAGAAAGACGUGGAAUAGCUGAGGUUUGAAACUAUGUGGACUACACUCAGAACCAGGAAAGGCAGCAUCCAAACGAGUGGCCAUUAAGAUACCUUUAGACUGGAACUCCCUCACUUUGAAGAAACCAAACACAAUUUCAGCCAUAAUGCAUUGGGGAUUCUGUGUUCAGUUACAGUGGAAUGACACCUUGAGGCAUAUUUAAGCUGCCAGUCUAUAUAGCACAUUCAUGAGGAGGAGGAAACUGCUGUCCUGUUAUCUAUGGAAAAUAUGACCAAUUCCAUUGCAAUGAUAUCGAGAACCAG